rnacentral:rRNA from 1 species
AAUGAACGCUGGCGGCGUGCUUUACACAUGCAAGUUGAGCGAGGCCACCCGCAAGGGUGAGUCGAGCGGCGAACGGGUGAGUAACGCGUGGAUGACCUGCCCUUUAGUGGGGAAUAACCCGGGGAAACUCGGGCUAAUACCGCAUAAGACCGAGAGGUGAAAGCGGGGUCGCAAGAUCUCGUGCUAAUGGAGGGGUCCGCGUUCGAUUAGCUAGUUGGUAGGGUAAUGGCCUACCAAGGCGACGANCGAUAGCCGGCCUGAGAGGGUGAUCGGCCACACUGGAACUGAGACACGGUCCAGACUCCUACGGGAGGCAGCAGUGGGGAAUUUUGCGCAAUGGGCUAACGCCUGACGCAGCAACGCCGCGUGGA